rnacentral:rRNA from 1 species
GAUCCUGGCUCAGGAUGAACGCUAGCGGCAGGCCUAAUACAUGCAAGUCGAGCGGCAAGUCGAGGAGUAAUCUAAGACCUAGAGCGGCGCACGGGUGCGUAACGCGUAUGCAACCUACCUUAUACUGGGGUAUAGCCCGGAGAAAUUCGGAUUAAUCCCCCAUAGUACUAUUUUACCGCAUGGUAAAAUAGUUAAAGCAUUGCGGUAUAAGAUGGGCAUGCGUCCUAUUAGCUAGAUGGUGAGGUAACGGCUCACCAUGGCUACGAUAGGUAGGGGGCCUGAGAGGGUGGUCCCCCACACUGGUACUGAGACACGGACCAGACUCCUACGGGAGGCAGCAGUGAGGAAUAUUGGUCAAUGGGCGCAAGCCUGAACCAGCCAUGCCGCGUGCAGGAAGAAUGCCCUAUGGGUUGUAAACUGCUUUUAUUUGGGAAUAAACCUCUUUACGUGUAGAGAGCUGAAGGUACCAAAUGAAUAAGCACCGGCUAACUCCGUG